rnacentral:rRNA from 1 species
UCGUUGGAGCCCUUUCAUUUCGCGAACUCCGACGGCACAGCGAAAGCGAGAACGUGAUCUGUCGGCCGCGGCCGUCCGUCGGUCGCGGCGCACGAAGCAUCAUUCCUGGGUCGGGUCUGCUCGUUUGCGGUCGGCGGGUGCCUUUCGCGUGCAGGUCCUUUUUCCGGCUUCGCGCCGGGCCGCGUUCCCGCUCCGACUCAGGUGUAGCAGGCGGCCGGGGACCCGAAAGAUGGCGAUCCACGCCCGGUCGGGACGAAGCCAGAAGAAACUCUGGUGGAAGUCCGAAACGCCUCUGACGUGCAAAUCGAUCGUCGGAACCGGGUGUAGGGGCGAAAGACCAAUCGAACCAUCUA